UUAUAGAACCUCAGAGCGUAGGAUAACGAUUCUUCCUCUGAUAGGCCCAAGGGACCGUCGAUUGUGGGCCAUACCGGCGUCGAUGACAGUAUAGAAUUGCUAUUGUUUGGGUAAUUUGGUUUAGGGUUGAGAUUUUGCAUUG